CCUACGGGAGGCAGCAGUGAGGAAUAUUGGUCAAUGGACGAGAGUCUGAACCAGCCAAGUAGCGUGAAGGAUGACUGCCCUAUGGGUUGUAAACUUCUUUUAUAUGGGAAUAAAAUGUUCCACGUGUGGGAUUUUGUAUGUACCAUAUGAAUAAGGAUCGGCUAACUCCGUGCCAGCAGCCGCGGUAAUACGGAGGAUCCGAGCGUUAUCCGGAUUUAUUGGGGUUAAAGGGAGCGUAGGUGGAUUGUUAAGUCAGUUGUGAAAGUUUGCGUCUCAACCGUAAAAUUGCAGUUGAAACUGGCAGUCUUGAGUACAGUAGAGGUGGGCGGAAUUCGUGGUGUAGCGGUGAAAUGCUUAGAUAUCACGAAGAACUCCGAUUGCGAAGGCAGUUCACUGGACUGCAACUGACACUGAGGCUCGAAAGUGUGGGUAUCAAACAGGAUUAGAUACCCUAGUAGUC
rnacentral:rRNA from 1 species